rnacentral:miRNA from 1 species
AGAACUGUGUGUGGACGUCAGU